ACGACCGUACCGCAAACCGACACUGGUGCGCGAGAUGAGUAUUCUAAGGCGCUUGAGAGAACUCAGGAGAAGGAACUCGGCAAAUUGACACCGUAACUUCGGAAGAAGGUGUGCCCUAUUAGUGUGAAGUGAACAACGGAGCAUGAAUGGGUUGCAAAAAAUCGGUGGCUGCGACUGUUUAUUAAAAACACAGCACUCUGCAAACACGAAAGUGGACGUAUAGGGUGUGACGCCUGCCCGGUGCUGGAAGAUUAAAUGAUGGGGUGCAAGCUCUUGAUUGAAGUCCCAGUAAACGGCGGCCGUAACGAUAACGGUCCUAAGGUAGCGAAAUUCCUUGUCGGGUAAGUUCCGACCUGCACGAAUGGCGUAACGAUGGCCACACUGUCUCCUCCUGAGACUCAGCGAAGUUGAAAUGUUUGUGAUGAUGCAAUCUCCCCGCGGAAAGACGGAAAGACCCCAUGAACCUUUACUGUAGCUUUGUAUUGGACUUUGAACAGAUCUGUGUAGGAUAGGUGGGAGGCUUUGAAGCAGGGUCGCUAGAUCUUGUGGAGCCAACGUUGAAAUACCACCCUGGUGUGUUUGAGGUUCUAACCUAGGUCCAUUAUCUGGAUCGGGGACAGUGCAUGGUAGGCAGUUUGACUGGGGCGGUCUCCUCCCAAAGCGUAACGGAGGAGUUCGAAGGUACGCUAGUUACGGUCGGACAUCGUGACGAUAGUGCAAUGGCAUAAGCGUGCUUAACUGCGAGACUGACAAGUCGAGCAGAUGCGAAAGCAGGACAUAGUGAUCCGGUGGUUCUGUAUGGAAGGGCCAUCGCUCAACGGAUAAAAGGUACUCUGGGGAUAACAGGCUGAUACCGCCCAAGAGUUCAUAUCGACGGCGGUGUUUGGCACCUCGAUGUCGGCUCAUCUCAUCCUGGGGCUGUAGCCGGUCCCAAGGGUAUGGCUGUUCGCCAUUUAAAGAGGUACGUGAGCUGGGUUUAAAACGUCGUGAGACAGUUUGGUCCCUAUCUUCCGUGGGCGCUGCAGAUUUGAGGAAGCCUGCUCCUAGUACGAGAGGACCGGAGUGGACACACCUCUGGUGUAUCGGUUGUCACGCCAGUGGCAUUGCCGAGUAGCUAAGUGUGGAAGAGAUAACCGCUGAAAGCAUCUAAGCGGGAAACUCGUUUCAAGAUGAGAUCUGCCGGGGCCUUGAGCCCCCUAAAGAGUCGUUCAAGACCAGGACGUUGAUAGGUCAGGUGUGGAAGCCAAAAA
rnacentral:rRNA from 1 species